rnacentral:misc_RNA from 1 species
GUGAAUCAUCGAAUUUUUGAACGCAAAUUGCACUCCCCUGGGUGCGUAGGAGUGUUUGAGUGUGAGCCUCUAUAAAUCGACAACGUUGCUGUUUCGCUGUGGGGUGCGUGGGAACUUGGGUCAUCUUAAAUUCUUUUGAUUUAAGCGACUUAAUAUAUUUUUUUGGUUCUAUGAACGUUUCUAAGAUCUAUUUCUUUACAAGUUUCAGGUAUCGUUUUUUACUAGCCGUGACGUUCAUAUCGGAUCGCGAC